UACGAAGGGGGCUAGCGUUGUUCGGAAUUACUGGGCGUAAAGCGCGCGCAGGCGGCCUUUCAAGUCAGGGGUGAAAGCCCGGAGCUCAACUCCGGAAUUGCCUUUGAAGCUGUCAGGCUCUAGUACGGGAGAGGUGAGUGGAAUUCCCAGUGUAGAGGUGAAAUUCGUAGAUAUUGGGAAGAACACCGGUGGCGAAGGCGGCUCACUGGCCCGUCUCUGACGCUCAGGCGCGACAGCGUGGGGAUCAAACAGG
rnacentral:rRNA from 1 species